rnacentral:tRNA from 1 species
AGGGGGGUAGCCUCAAGUUUACGCUUUCGCUUCAUAAGCGGAAGUUCAUGGGUUCAAUUCCCAGCCCCUCCA